ensembl:lncRNA
UUUCUUCAUUUCGCUACUGCAACCAGGAAUUUGCAUUGUAUAAAACAACAGAUGCGAUAGUAUUUAAUAAUAUUUUGUGCAUAUGAGUUGGGAUUUUGGGGUUUGGUUUUACCUCCUUUAAAGUAUAAAAACAAUUAAGAGAGGUUUGAAAUGACUUUGAAAACGAGAUUUUAUGGCUGAGUAAUUUCAUCACAUCGUCUCUUUCAAAAAUGUUGACUUUUUGUUGCAGCAGAAUGCUGUAAAUAAUUUACAUGAUUUCAUGACGUUUCCCAUACGCAGCAGUGUGAUGCUUUUUUUAGGAGAACGCUUCAAUACAUGUGAGAGUAAAGGAGAUUUUUUAUUUUAUUUAAAAUUUUCCCAAAAAAUACGUAAGCGUUGUAUUCAAAAUAUAAUGUUCCUCCAAGCCCCAUUUCCGAAACAUUUAACGCACCCCGGAAUAAAGUCCUGUGUGACACACACCUGCGUUUAUUUUAAAAUUGGGGUUUUAAUGAUUUCAGAUCCCCGCCUCUCUCUCUCUCUCUCUCUCUCUCUCUCUCUCUCUCUCUCUCUCUCUCUCUCUCUCUCUCUCCCUCUCGCUCCCUCCCUCCCUCCCUCCCUCUCUCUCCCUGCGAGGCGGAGUUUAUCCCCUCUGCUCACCGUGUGGACCGUCUUCACUUGUCAGUAGCAGUCCGCAUGUUUGAGGGAGAGGACACGUGCGAGUCUCUGGAGACAUAAGACACUUCUUUAACACUCGGCUCUUUUGCGUUAUUAGAUUAUUAGACCAGAUGUUCUGUCAACGCGGGGAGAGAAUCCGAGGCGGAAUUUGAACGGGUCGCAGGGUUCGACUGGCGGAGCGGAGUCAGCCCGAUGUGCAAGAAAAUGUCGACCCCCUCGUCCCUGAAGACGGAAGGCAACUACCAUCGGACAGGACAACGAGUCACCUUACAGAAAGAAACAAGGGUGGGUGGUUGGAAGGCUGGAUAAAGGCUGGUAGAUGACUGAACUCAGAGACCCAGCGCUGCUCAUCAUCAUUGCCAUGGGCUCUCGUCUUCCUCCUCUCCUCCUGUGGCCGAUACCUCCAACCAGGGGUCCAGCAGAGCCGGCGAAGCCCAGGCAGAGAGCUAGUGAGUAGGCUGGAAAAGGAUGGAGAAGGUCCCUGAUGGCUAGAAGCACCUCUGGAGCUACCGGCAUGUAGGAGAAAUCAAUAUGAAACACAGAUCCUGCACAGCUCUGAGUGGUCUUCCCCAUGUUAGUCUGUGGCCUUAGGGGCCCACAGACCUCCAAAGGACAGGCCCUGCGUGGCCCUCUCAGCUGCAGGCUGAGACCGGCUCCUAAGACUGGACCUCACUCCCCAUCUCCACUGGCUGUGUGUGGUUCAGCUGAAGGGGAUCGCUCCCCAUGUGAUACCCCGAAUGCUGAAAGACCGCCGACAGGGAUAUUCCGUUCUCUUUCUUCCCCCCCCCCUUCACAAGAUUGACAUAUCCACCGCUUUCUGCCUCUGGCUGUUUGAAGAAAAGCGUUUGGGAGUCCUGCUUUUGAAUCUCUCUCCGCCCUCAACACAUCCGUUGUUUAUUCCCCAACCAGUUUUUACAUUUGACAAAGAGACAGCACCGUCUUUAUUUUCUCUUCCACCCUUUGCUUGCGGUUGGUAAACAUGUGCCAGUUAAGACCAGAAACAGCGACGCCUUUUCUCACCGUGAUGUCUGGUAUUCAAUCCCAGAAUAUAUAUAUAUAUAUAUAUAUAUCUUUUAACUGAAUAUCAAGGAGAGCAGAAGAUCACAGAGAGACCUUCUCAUCUUGUAGUGGAGAUAGUAAAAUGAUUAAUGAUGUUAGAACAACCGAACUUCCUUCCACUGACCCACAUUCCAUUCAGAUUGGACUGGAACAUUCUCUUUUUUUUUCGAAAGAUAAAAGCUUCUGACACAAAAUUGUUUGUGAUCGACAGUCACUCCUUUGUCCCUUUGAGCUUAGACACAUGGUAACGAAUGUAAAGUUGAACCGCUAAAUAUAUUUAAAUCCAAGAAAUAUCGCAUCGUAUUGACAGAGAGACUUUGAAAUAUAUUUUUGCACUCAAUAUGGGUUUUAAAAGUGAAAUAGCAAGUGCAUUUUUAGGCUUGAUAAAUAAUAUAUUAAAAUGUAAUAUAAUUAAAUGUAUUUUUCUAAAUAUACUAUGAUGCAUUUUAUAAACCAAUAUCUGAUUGUGGGUUUGCUUUCAUGGAUCCUGUUGUACUUUGCGGGAAAGUCAUUGGAAAUUGGGUUUUUAAGUUCUAUUAUUUUAAGUUACUUUAAGUCCAUCGAUCACCAAUGUCUGGAUUUCAGGGUUUAAUUAAUAAAUUAACGCCCUGAGGUGUCAUUUGUUGAAACUGUGUAAAUUGUGAAAAUGUGGUAAAUAAAGAGAACAGCAGAGAACAGAGACUUUGACAUUUUUACCUAUUGAAUACUUUUUGUAAUUGAAAAUGUAUUUGACGAUACUCAGAUUUGUAUUAUUAUAAUUAAAAAAUGAAAAAUGUAUUUCCUGUUUUUUGUUUUCUAGAAAUGAGUUGCUUCUACUAAGACAGUUCUAGUCUGACAGAAUCAUUUAACGGAGGAAAUAUCAAACAACCAAAAUAAAAACACACAAUUAAGUAAAUUAAUA